CGUAUGGUGCAAGCGUUAUCCGGGAUUUACUGGGUGUAAAGGGAGCGCAGGCGGUGCGGCAAGUCUGAUGUGAAAGCCCGGGGCUCAACCCCGGUACUGCAUUGGAAACUGUCGUACUAGAGUGUCGGAGGGGUAAGUGGAAUUCCUAGUGUAGCGGUGAAAUGCGUAGAUAUUAGGAGGAACACCAGUGGCGAAGGCGGCUUACUGGACGAUAACUGACGCUGAGGCUCGAAAGCGUGGGGAGCAA
rnacentral:rRNA from 1 species